CCAGACUCCUACGGGAGGCAGCAGUGAGGAAUAUUGGUCAAUGGGCGGGAGCCUGAACCAGCCAAGCCGCGUGAGGGAAGAAGGUACAGCGUAUCGUAAACCUCUUUUGUCAGGGAACAAAGGCGGGGACUAGUCCCCGGAUGAGGGUACCUGAAGAAAAAGCAUCGGCUAACUCCGUGCCAGCAGCCGCGGUAAUACGGAGGAUGCGAGCGUUAUCCGGAUUUAUUGGGUUUAAAGGGUGCGCAGGCGGCCUGUUAAGUCAGGGGUAAAAUUUGGGGGCUCAACCCCGACAAGCCGUUGAAACUGGCUUGCUAGAGUGGGCGAGAAGUAUGCGGAAUGCGUGGUGUAGCGGUGAAAUGCAUAGAUAUCACGCAGAACCCCGAUUGCGAAGGCAGCCUUCCGGCGCCCUACUGACGCUGAGGCACGAAAGUGCGGGGAUCGAACAGGAUUAGAUACCCUGGUAAU
rnacentral:rRNA from 1 species